CCUACGGGGUGCAGCAGUGGGGAAUAUUGGACAAUGGGCGAAAGCCUGAUCCAGCCAUGCCGCGUGUGUGAAGAAGGCCUUCGGGUUGUAAAGCACUUUCAGUGGGGAAGAAAGCCUUGGGGCUAAUACCCUCGAGGAAGGACAUCACCCACAGAAGAAGCACCGGCUAACUCCGUGCCAGCAGCCGCGGUAAUACGGAGGGUGCGAGCGUUAAUCGGAAUUACUGGGCGUAAAGCGCGCGUAGGCGGUCUGAUAAGCCGGUUGUGAAAGCCCCGGGCGCAACCUGGGAACGGCAUCCGGAACUGUCAGGCUAGAGUGCAGGAGAGGAAGGUAGAAUUCCCGGUGUAGCGGUGAAAUGCGUAGAGAUCGGGAGGAAUACCAGUGGCGAAGGCGGCCUUCUGGACUGACACUGACGCUGAGGUGCGAAAGCGUGGGUAGCAAACAGGAUUAGAUACCCCAGUAGUC
rnacentral:rRNA from 1 species